rnacentral:tRNA from 1 species
GCGGGCGUAGCUCAACGGAUAGAGUGCCGGUCUUCGGAACCGGUGAUGGGGGUUCGAUUCCCUCCGCCCGCACCA